rnacentral:rRNA from 1 species
CAGCCGCCGCGGUAAGACAGAGGAUGCAAGCGUUAUCCGGAAUGAUUGGGCGUAAAGCGUCUGUAGGUGGCUUUUCAAGCCCGCCGUCAAAUCCCAGGGCUCAACCCUGGACAGGCGGUGGAAACUACUAAGAUGGAGUACGGUAGGGGCAGAGGGAAUUUCCGGUGGAGCGAUGAAAUGCGUUGAGAUCGGAAAGAACACCAACGGUGAAAGCACUCUGCUGGGCCGACACUGACACUGAGAGACGAAAGUUAGGGGAGAAAAUGGGAUUAGAUACCCGUGUAGUCCCUGUCUCUUAUAA